rnacentral:lncRNA from 1 species
UACCACUCUGUUACUCCUCAAAAGAAGGCACAUGAGGUGGAUGUCUUUUUCCAGAGGCUUAAUCUGGAAGAGCUAACUUCUCUGCACAGAAACUUCAAAUGGUCAUGAAAACUCCCUCCAAAAAAGUAGAAAAAAGACUUGCAAAAUAUGUUGAGAAUUUCCACUGUGUGGAUAAAUGUGGGAGUGUCUGUCUCUGAAGCUCCUCCAAGGCCUCAGCAGAAAUAUGAAGAGGCAUUUCAGAGUUAAGAUGAAACCUAUUCUGAAAUUCAGUUUUAUGGAAGACACAAACCAAGGAAUACAGGCAAGAUUUGGACAUUUGAGUCAAGCAGAUUUGACACUGAUGGCUAGCCUUGGAAAAACUCUUCACUGAGGCUGGAGACCUGUCAUGAACUGCAGCCACAAAACAGCCCUUGCCAGCUGCCUGCUCCUUAUACCACAGCUUCUGGUCCCCAAAGCCCCCAGCUGAGCAGAUUGAGAGAUUCGCUAUCCUGUGAGUCUUUGAAGACACGAGCUUGGUGUCUCUAUGGAAAGCAAAGUGGAACUCCAGCUGCCCAUAGGUUUAGGUACUGAAAAGCAACCGAGGUUCAGCCAAAGAAAUGCUCCAGGAUGCUGGAGCCCCAGCAAGCAAUGCAAAGACACAGGGACUGCUCAAAAUUCUGUCAUUGUUG